GUCAUGACGGACUGCGCAUUUGUUCUGUUCUGUAUGUUCUGCGCACUUUCGCUUUCUCCCGGAAGCUGAGCCGUUGUUUUUACGCGCUUAAUUUUCAGGAAACGGUAAAUGUUUACUUUCCAGUACGUCUUGAACUAUUCAGCCCACGGUGCGCUGUGACGGAGACCCUGCAAACUUCGUCUUAUACCGCUGACGCUGCCAGGGAGGAGGAGAAGAGGCAGACCUCAGAGAAGAUUCAUGGAUGUAGCAGGAGGACAUGCAGAGGGUUGGUGUGUCAGAGGAGGAUGCAAGGGACUGGAAAGGGAGCAGCUGAAAGAAGGCAGUGAAGGCGGUAAAGUCAACAAUUUUCCAUAAAAGUGCAGUUCUUCAGUCAUCUCUGCAUAUUAUAUGAGUCAAACAACAGGGCCCUGUUUUGAAAUGAUGAAAUCUGAGAUGACAAACUCUGAGUUUUGACUUCCUUAAGAGUUGAUUAAAAUUAGUUCAAUUAAGUGAGCUGAUUCAAGCACAUCUGUAUGUAAUGAGUGAAAGCAUUCCAUCAUCAGGCAAAUAAAGAGCUGAGCCCUCACUUUAAUCUCAUGGACCAAGAAAGUUGAAUACUUAUGGUAAAUGUUUUCAUGCACAGGAACUUGCUGACAACCUGACAGCUGCCUAUCAGUGUUGGAAAGAUGUAUCCUAUAGAUUUUGUAGUGAAUCCACAAUAUGCGGUCGUCACUGUCUCUGUUCUUACAGGCUGUACACAAAAGAGCUCACCUUAAACAAGCUGCAGGUGCAACAGGAAGUGAAGACUUUGUCAAAGAACAUCUGCAGGUAGGUUCCUGCCAUAAACCCCCUUCCUGUAAUACGGACCAGGGAACCAGAAACAACAAUUUUAUUUUAUGUCCUCUUGUUCUUUAUGCUACAACUUUACUUUAUACUCACUCACCCCAAUAUGUUGUUCCUUUAAAUAUUUUUUUUCUUUAA
ensembl:lncRNA